UAUUAAAAAGUAACAAUGACAAGUGAAUCAUUUUUAAAAUUUGUUGAAUGAAACUGAACAAGAAUAAACUUGAGAAAAAAAGUUCCCGAUGCGUAAAUCGUUAAACACUUUCGGGGAAUCUGUGAAUGACAGAUAAAAAGCAUUAGCAUGUUUUUCAGGGUGGAAAAAGAGACAAAUGGUUAGUCGGGCUGUUGAACACCGCAUAAAGAAGAUGAAGAUGAAGAUGAGAUGACGAGGAGCAAGCAAGCAAGUAAGCAAGUUAGAGAAGAGUAGAGGGAGAAUAGGUGGUCUUAAAAUUUUCUAUUCUUGUUAUGUUAUAUUAACGGAUGAAGCCAUUAUCAAGGUGUACGGUCUAGUUCUUGUAUGUAUUGAGGCGAGGACUUUUCGACUGGCAUAUAGAACAAUUCUACUGGGACGAAGUAAAAGAAGAAGAAGAAGAUGAUGAUGAUUAUGACUGUGAUGAAGAAGAGUAAAUUCGCCGGCUCAAAAAUGAGCUAAGGCUUCCUGUAUAUUUCACGACCUCAUUUAAAUGGACACUGGAGAAUUUCAAUUGGAGUCACAGCCUCCACGGGUCAUUGAUCCUAAAAAUAUAUAUUUACAAAGACGUUUUUUAAAAAGCGUCGUCAUAUCAUCCAGCAAGCACUUGAUCAAAGACCAGUAUGAAUAGCAUAACUGGAUCCCGAGUGCGGAAAAUAACUGCAUAGAAGUGGGCAACUAGUAUAAUAUCAAUAAGUGAAAAAAGACAUAUUUAAACCAGCUCUCAAGCGUUCCUAAUUACCAUGAGUGUUUUUCGGUAUUUGAAACAUACUAUUCAGAGGACAAGCUUAUAACAUAUACACACACGAUAUGCAGUCGCAGUGUCUUAUACCGGUUUUUCUCGCCUUAUUAAUAAAUUAUACAAGCCAAGGAGGUUCGGCGUAUAGUAGAGAGCUCUCUUAUAUACAUUAGCCCGAGAAUGAACGAGCAAUAAAACGCACACAGUGCGAGUAAGCAAGAAGACAAGAAGACAGCGUAUCCAGCGUACAACCAGGCACCUUGGUUUAAUACAUAUGUACAUAAGUUGUUUUAUAUUGAGU